rnacentral:lncRNA from 1 species
CCCUUGCUUCUGAAAUCUACAAUGACAUCUUCGUAGCUGUAGUUCUCUAGAAUUCCACCCUCUAUGUGAACUAACAGGUUAUUGGCAAGAUUCUCAUCUUCCAUCUUCCAUCAGAUAUGCCCUCCUCACUGCAUCUCUUUGGUCUGGUGGAUAUUGCCAAAUUUGAGGGCGCAGUCUAGGGUCUCACUGCAAGAACUAAAUACCUUGGAAUGUAACAGCUUCAUUUGUUCAAACUAUGAUUACCUGUGUUGCAAUUUCUAAGAUCAGCCUAUUCACUUUCUUAUCAAAUGGACACAACUAUUUCUUAUCAACACUGGACACACAAAACAGAUGAAUAGUUGGCGCUAAUGGUUAGAAAUUCCACUGGACACUCAACAGGAUUCUGUACAGAUCGAAUUCUAUAUGGAUAAAAACUGUUUCUUAUAAACACUGGACACUGAAAAUAGAAGAGUUCAUGACUCAUGAGUAGAUGUAAAGAACUGAACAAAAAUGAUAAAAUGGGGAAUUACCUCUUCUUCUACAGUUGCUCUACUGUUGGAGGAGAGUAGGAGACUAGGAGAGCUCAUCCAGUGAUCUGCUCAUGCGCCGGCCGCCAGGAGUGGUCCGUCAGGCCGCAGGCCGGCAGCACGACGGCGUGGCCGAGCCCGAGCAGAUGUCGUCUGCGAGCAG